GAAGCUUUGGCGUUCAACAGGGGGUGGAGUGAUGCAGUGUAGUUAAACCCGCCAGCAGCCUGUCCACCGAUCACUCGCACCAUGCUUCUCCACACAGGCUUUCCCUCAGUCCAGACUGACACACACACUCCACACUCACACACACACACACACGCACGCACACAAAUAUAUAUACAUUCAUUCUCUCUCACACACACAUACACACACAGACCGGCAUGUCCACAGGAUACUGCAAACAGCCGUCGGCAAGCGCACAGACUGAGGAGGAGCGUGUGAAGGAGAGAUGGAGAGAAAAAGAGGAAGGAGUCAAGCAAGAAAAUGAAAAGAGAGAGGGAGUCAGACAGCAUAGAGAGAGAGAGAAAAGGAGGGAGAGAGGGAGUGUGAGAGAAAGAGACAGAGAGUGAGGGAGUAAGAGCAACGGAGCGAGAGGGAGAGAAAAAGAGAGAGAGAGACAGACGGAGCAGAGACAAAGACUACUGCUUGAAGAGCUGUUUCCUGCAAGCCAUGUGCACAGCGGUGGAGUGUCGCACAACGGAAUGUGUCUGCUACUCCCGACUUAUCGCAUGGGCAACGGCGCUGGUGCGCAAGGGUGGAAGAACGUGGCCCUGCAGUUGAGUCAGACAAAAGGGCUUUGCGUUCUUUGAAGGGGAGUGGCCGCAUGUAGAAGAGUUGACGACCUCGCCUUGCCUCGUCGGUAGACCUGUCUCCUAAAGCACGGAGCGUCUGACAGCCUUUGAAGCGGAUCUCCGGCACCUAUAUAUCUCUCUCUCUCCCACUCUCUCUCUCUCUCCCACUCUCUCUCUAUCUCUCUCUCUCUCUCCCACUCUCUCUCCUUCUCUCCUCUACGACUCCUCUGAAGAGGCAGCAGGACGCAAGGGAAGUCGGGGACCCCUCACAGCAUGCAGGAAAUACUCCUUUCACCCAGACUGAAUGCUGUGGAAGUCUCUGGCUAAUGAAGCCCUGUGCUCGAAACCUCAACAUGAAGCUUGAGAAUGAAGCUUCCUCUGUACUCCAUUUGUUGAGAAAACGACACUCCCCGUCGGGUAGAGAGGAGGGAGAGAAAGAAAGUUCCAAGCAGUGUGCGCUCUGGACACUGGUGCCUGUGGUGGUGCCCGUGUGCUGCCCGUCUGGUGCCCGUGUGGUGCCCGUGUGGUGCCCGUGUGGUGCCCGUGUGCUGCUCAGUAGUCAGUGUAGAUCCUGUGUUGUAAUCAGCAGCUACAUCUGGCUACUGGGUCUCUCAUGGCGCACCCUCCGCUGCCCUCCGCCCCAUUCCUCCAUGAUUGUGCACUGUGUUAUCACUGACCUCGGAUGUCAUCAUGUGGCCCGGCAGAAGAAGACACACACACACCCACACUUACACACACACACACACACUCACUCUCCGGCAGGAAUUACAGUAGGCACUGGGCUUGGUUGAGUGUCGUUGCUCCUGUGACACUUUUUUUUUCUAAUACUGUUCCUCUUUUUUUUUCCUUCUUCUCCUUUUAGUGAAUGUGUUGCGCAGUUUACAAAUUUUGUCCUCACAGACUUCUUCUUCUUAUUCAUUCACUCUCUCUCUCUCUGUCAUUCACUCUCUCUCUCUGUCAUUCACUCUAUCUCUCUCUCCUCUCCUUCACUCUAUCUAUCUAUUUGCGUGUAUCUGCGCUAUCGACAAGCCAUCAGUUUGUCGAUUUCUUUUCUUUGAUUUCCAACGCAAUGCUCCUUUCCCAUUAAAGUGAUGAGAAACUGUCAGAGACGGUAGAGAAGAGAGCCUCCCCAGCUCUGAUUGAGACAAAGUGGCUAUUCGAACAGCAACAAAAGCAGCACUGCAGCAUUGGCCCCAAACAUUUAUAUUCCCAAAGGAGUCAUUUGAAUGAUUAAAAACACAAUGGGCGAGUCAUGAUGUCUCACUCUCAGUGAUUAUUUUGUCAGACGUACAGUUGAAGUUUGUUUUUUGAACGUCAUCUGUAAUGUUUUUUUUUUUUUUUUUCCAUCAUCCAUUUUCUUUUUCAUAUUGAGAUCUAACAUUGAUCAAUCUAGAAUGCAAGCGCAAAAAAAAAAAAGAGCGAAAUGAUUGUUUUAAGAAUGAUGAUUUGGGAGGGCGCCGAAGGCGCUGAAGGCACAACCAGUUUUUUUGGCUCCAAUCCUGGACCUGGCAUACAAUGUAGAUUUCUGUGUGGAUCAAGCUACAGCUACAUUGUCUGCUGGGUUUCAGGUGGUCGAAACAAUCCCCUCGUCGUGUGCUCCCCCUUCCAUAAAUCAAGCACGGUAAGUUCCUCUUCAUUGAUAUUCACAGUGCUUCUUUACUCUGCUGACCAAAAAAAAACAAUAAAAGUAAUGAAGAAGUCA